rnacentral:rRNA from 1 species
UACGGAGGGUGCGAGCGUUGUCCGGAAUCACUGGGCGUAAAGGGCGCGUAGGCGGCCUGAUAAGUAGGGGGUGAAAUCCUGCGGCUUAACCGCAGGGCUGCCUUCUAAACUGUCAGGCUAGAGCACAGUAGAGGCAGGUGGAAUUCCCGGUGUAGCGGUGGAAUGCGUAGAGAUCGGGAGGAACACCGGUGGCGAAGGCGGUCUUCUGGACGGUGACUGACGCUGAGGCGCGAAAGCGUGGGGAGCAAACGGG